rnacentral:rRNA from 1 species
CCUACGGGGGGCUGCAGUGGGGAAUAUUGCACAAUGGGGGAAACCCUGAUGCAGCGACGCCGCGUGAGUGAAGAAGUAUUUCGGUAUGUAAAGCUCUAUCAGCAGGGAAGAAAAAAGACGGUACCUGACUAAGAAGCCACGGCUAACUACGUGCCAGCAGCCGCGGUAAUACGUAGGGGGCAAGCGUUAUCCGGAUUUACUGGGUGGAAAGGGAGCGUAGACGGCGCGGCAAGUCUGAAGUGAAAGGCAGGGGGUUAACCCCUGAACUGCUUUGGAAACUGCCAUGCUAGAGUGCUGGAGAGGUAAGUGGAAUUCCUAGUGUAGCGGUGAAAUGCGGAGAUAUUAGGAGGAACACCAGUGGCGAAGGCGGCUUACUGGACAGUAACUGACGUUGAGGCUCGAAAGCGUGGGGAGCAAACAGGAUUAGAUACCCUAGUAGUC